GAUUAACGCUGGCGGCGUGCAUAACACAUGCAAGUCGAACGAUGAAACUUAACUGAUUUCUUCGGAAUGAUUUUAAGUGGAUUAGUGGCGGACGGGUGAGUAACGCGUGAGUAACCUGCCUUGGAGAAGGGGAUAGCCUUUGGAAACGAAGAAUAAUACCCUAUGAUAUGAUACUAUCUCAUGAUAUUAUCAUCAAAGAUUUAUCGCUCUAAGAUGGACUUGCGUCUGAUUAGUUAGUUGGUGAGGUAACAGCUCACCAAGGCAGCGAUCAGUAGCCGGCUUGAGAGAGUGUACGGCCACAUUGGGACUGAGACACGGCCCAGACUCCUACGGGAGGCAGCAGUGGGGAAUUUUGCACAAUGGGGGAAACCCGGAUGCAGCGACGCCGCGUGAUUUAGAAGGCCUUCGGGUUGUAAAAAUCUUUUGUAUGGGAAGAAAAUGACAGUACCAUACGAAUAAGGACCGGCUAAUUACGUG
rnacentral:rRNA from 1 species